rnacentral:rRNA from 1 species
AUUGAACGCUGGCGGCAGGCCUAACACAUGCAAGUCGAACGGUAACAGGAAGAAGCUUGCUUCUUUGCUGACGAGUGGCGGACGGGUGAGUAAUGUCUGGGAAACUGCCUGAUGGAGGGGGAUAACUACUGGAAACGGUAGCUAAUACCGCAUAACGUCGCAAGACCAAAAAGGGGGACCUUCGGGCCUCUUGCCAUCGGAUGUGCCCAGAUGGGAUUAGCUAGUAGGUGGGGUAACGGCUCACCUAGGCGACGAUCCCUAGCUGGUCUGAGAGGAUGACCAGCCACACUGGAACUGAGACACGGUCCAGACUCCUACGGGAGGCAGCAGUGGGGAAUAUUGCACAAUGGGCGCAAGCCUGAUGCAGCCAUGCCGCGUGUAUGAAGAAGGCCUUCGGGUUGUAAAGUACUUUCAGCGGGGAGGAAGGGAGUAAAGUUAAAACCUUUGCUCAUUGACGUUACCCGCAGAAGAAGCACCGGCUAACUCCGUG